UACGGAGGGUGCAAGCGUUGUUCGGAUUGACUGGGCGUAAAGCGCGUGUAGGCGGCUUUGCAAGUCGGGUGUGAAAGCCCUCAGCUCAACUGAGGAAGUGCGCCCGAAACUGCAGAGCUUGAGUGCCGGAGAGGGUGGCGGAAUUCCCCAAGUAGAGGUGAAAUUCGUAGAUAUGGGGAGGAACACCGGUGGCGAAGGCGGCCACCUGGACGGUAACUGACGCUGAGACGCGAAAGCGUGGGGAGCAAACAGG
rnacentral:rRNA from 1 species